rnacentral:tRNA from 1 species
GCGGGCGUGGUGAAAUUGGUAAACACAAGGGACUUAAAAUCCCUCGGCUUCACGGCCUUGCCGGUUCAAGUCCGGCCGCCCGCACCA